GACGAACGCUGGCGGCGUGCUUAACACAUGCAAGUCGAACGGAAAGGCCCUGCUUUUGUGGGGUGCUCGAGUGGCGAACGGGUGAGUAACACGUGAGUAACCUGCCCUUGACUUUGGGAUAACUUCAGGAAACUGGGGCUAAUACCGGAUAGGAGCUCCUGCUUCAUGGUGGGGGUUGGUAAGUUUCGUCGGUUGGGGAUGGACUCGCGGCUUAUCAGCUUGUUGGUGGGGUAGUGGCUUACCAAGGCUUUGACGGGUAGCCGGCCUGAGAGGGUGACAGGAGACAAUGGGACUGAGAUACGGAACAGACGCGAACGGGAGGCAGCAGUGGGGAAUAGUGCAAAAUGGGAGGAAGCCUGAUGCAGAAACGCCGCGUGCGGGAUGACGGCCUUCGGGUUGUAAACCGCUUUAGCAUGUGACGAAGCGUGAGUGACGGUAAUGGGUAAAGAAGCAACGGCUAACUACGUG
rnacentral:rRNA from 1 species